UGGGGAAUAUUGAACAAUGGGCGAAAGCCUGAUCCAGCCAUGCCGCGUGUGUGAAGAAGGUCUUCGGAUUGUAAAGCACUUUAAGUUGGGAGGAAGGGCAGUAAGCGAAUACCUUGCUGUUUUGACGUUACCGACAGAAUAAGCACCGGCUAACUCUGUGCCAGCAGCCGCGGUAAUACAGAGGGUGCAAGCGUUAAUCGGAAUUACUGGGCGUAAAGCGCGCGUAGGUGGUUCGUUAAGUUGAAUGUGAAAGCCCCGGGCUCAACCUGGGAACUGCAUCCAAAACUGGCGAGCUAGAGUAGGGCAGAGGGUGGUGGAAUUUCCUGUGUAGCGGUGAAAUGCGUAGAUAUAGGAAGGAACACCAGUGGCGAAGGCGACCACCUGGGCUCAUACUGACACUGAGGUGCGAAAGCGUGGGGAGCAAACAGG
rnacentral:rRNA from 1 species